rnacentral:lncRNA from 1 species
GUCACAGGAAGGCCAAAAAGAUCAUCAAGGACAACAACCACCCGAGCAACUGCCUGUUCACACCGCUACCUUCCAGAAGGCGAGGUCCCCGGACAACGCAAUCACUGUUGCCCUGCACACUGCUCUAUCCCAGUUGGACAAGAGGAAUACCUACAGUAUGUGAAAACGUUGUUAAUCAACUACAGCUCUGAUUUCAACACCAUAGUGUCCUCCAAGCUCUUCACUAAGCUCAGGGCCCUGGGUCUGAACUCCUCCCUGUGCAACUGGGUCCUAGACUUCCUGACGGACCAACCCCAGGUAGUGAGGGUAGGCAACAACCCCUCCAACAUGCUUAUCAUCAACAUGGGGGCCCCACAGGGAUGUGUGCUCUUCCCCCUCCUGUACUCCCAGUUCACGCAUGACUGCAUGGCUACACCACUCCAACUCAAUCCUCAAGUUUGCUGAUGACACGACAGUGGUAGGCCUUAUUUCCAACUACUCCCUGGCAGAGUGGUGCCAGGAAAAUAACCUUACCCUCAAUGUAAAAAAAAAC